rnacentral:lncRNA from 1 species
CCGGGCUCGAUCGAUAAUUUUUGCACAUUAGACUCAACCCAAAAGCCCAUUAACACAUUUAUAAAAAGAAAAAUUUAGGCAAUCUGAAAAUUGUCACACGCAAAUAGGUCUUGGAAUUUUAUUUAGCACACUAUUGACAGAUUCAUCUCUCUUAUUUUAACGGGUUAAUUGUUCAAAUUGACCAUGUAAUAUACUUUAUGUUUGAAAAAUGACCCAAUAAAAUACAAAACAUAUAUUCUAGCAUUGUAACUUGAAUUUCUUCUUAUUUAAUUUUGACCACCCUAUAAUAUACGUGUAGUCUAAAAAUGUGACCUACAAGUUGAAUUUUUUC